UGGUGGGUAGUUUGACUGGGGCGGUCUCCUCCCAAAGAGUAACGGAGGAGCACGAAGGUUAGCUAAUCCUGGUCGGACAUCAGGAGGUUAGUGCAAUGGCAUAAGCUAGCUUGACUGCGAGAGUGACGGCUCGAGCAGGUGCGAAAGCAGGUCAUAGUGAUCCGGUGGUUCUGAAUGGAAGGGCCAUCGCUCAACGGAUAAAAGGUACUCCGGGGAUAACAGGCUGAUACCGCCCAAGAGUUCAUAUCGACGGCGGUGUUUGGCACCUCGAUGUCGGCUCAUCACAUCCUGGGGCUGAAGUAGGUCCCAAGGGUAUGGCUGUUCGCCAUUUAAAGUGGUACGCGAGCUGGGUUUAGAACGUCGUGAGACAGUUCGGUCCCUAUCUGCCGUGGGCGCUGGAGAAUUGAGGGGGGCUGCUCCUAGUACGAGAGGACCGGAGUGGACGCAUCACUGGUGUUCGGGUUGUCAUGCCAAUGGCACUGCCCGGUAGCUAAAUGCGGAAAAGAUAAGUGCUGAAAGCAUCUAAGCACGAAACUUGCCCCGAGAUGAGUUCUCCCUGACCCUUUAAGGGUCCUGAAGGAACGUUGAAGACUACGAC
rnacentral:rRNA from 1 species